GUAGUCUCCUGCCAAUCCUGGCCAAAACUCCGCGCGGCUUCUGGCCCCACAAGGAUACCCAAGUGGUCGUUUAUGAGGCCUUCAAUUCAGGUUUCCAGAGGUUGGAGCCAGCUUCUGGUGCUGCUUCUACACCGCGUGAUGUGUCUUCUCUCUAAAGGACUGCUCAUCCGUGGCACAAAUAACCCAUCCUAGAGCCACCCCAGGAACUAGAAAAAUCAAAUCUUUUGCCAGAAUUAUGAUGUUCCAAGAGUACAAUGAAACAGGUGCCGUGGAGGCAUUGGUUAGACUUAUGGGCAUUACAGAAGGUUCUGUCUCAGAAAAAUACAGGAACCUGCCAGCUCAAAGAUGUUUUGGAGAUCCAAAAGAAGAGGUGCUGAUUACACGGCAUGUUCACUUCAUGUAAACCUAUCAAGCUGUAUAAUGCUGAACUAAAACCAAUAAAACACCGGGUUAUUUUA